rfam:Gramella flava JLT2011, complete genome.
AUUGAAAGGGACAGAUUUGACUGAUUGCAACCCUAAAUACACCGAGGUGUAUUCAAAAUGCUAAAGCAGUAGUA